rnacentral:rRNA from 1 species
CAGGACGUCUCACGCGACGACGGGUAGCCGGCCUGAGAGGGCGACCGGCCACACUGGGACUGAGACACGGCCCAGACUCCUACGGGAGGCAGCAGUGGGGAAUAUUGCACAAUGGGCGAAAGCCUGAUGCAGCGACGCCGCGUGAGGGAUGACGGCCUUCGGGUUGUAAACCUCUUUCAGCAGGGAAGAAGCGAAAGUGACGGUACCUGCAGAAGAAGCGCCGGCUAACUACGUGCCAGCAGCCGCGGUAAUACGUAGGGCGCAAGCGUUGUCCGGAAUUAUUGGGCGUAAAGAGCUCGUAGGCGGCUUGUCACGUCGGAUGUGAAAGCCCGGGGCUUAACCCCGGGUCUGCAUUCGAUACGGGCUAGCUAGAGUGUGGUAGGGGAGAUCGGAAUUCCUGGUGUAGCGGUGAAAUGCGCAGAUAUCAGGAGGAACACCGGUGGCGAAGGCGGAUCUCUGGGCCAUUACUGACGCUGAGGAGCGAAAGCGUGGGGAGCGAACAGGAUUAGAUACCCUGGUAGUCCACGCCGUAAACGUUGGGAACUAGGUGUUGGCGACAUUCCACGUCGUCGGUGCCGCAGCUAACGCAUUAAGUUCCCCGCCUGGGGAGUACGGA